UACAGAGGUCUCAAGCGUUGUUCGGAUUCAUUGGGCGUAAAGGGUGCGUAGGCGGCGCGGUAAGUCGGAUGUGAAAUCUCGGAGCUUAACUCCGAAACUGCAUUCGAUACUGCCGUGCUUGAGGACUGGAGAGGAGACUGGAAUUUACGGUGUAGCGGUGAAAUGCGUAGAUAUCAGGAGGAACACCGGUGGCGAAGGCGGUUCUCUGGGCCUUACCUGACACUGAGGAGCGAAAGCGUGGGGAGCGAACAGG
rnacentral:rRNA from 1 species